UCCCCAACAGCUAGCCCCGACCCCUAAAUUCAACAAACCACAUUAAUACCCCCUAAUGAGCUAAUCCAAAAAAGCAAACCAUUUUACCACCUGAGUA
rnacentral:rRNA from 1 species